UACGUAGGGUGCAAGCGUUAUUCGGAUUCACUGGGCGUAAAGGGUGCGCAGGCGGUUGGGUGUGUCAGAUGUGAAAUCCCGAGGCUCAACCUCGGAACUGCGUCUGGAACUACUCGACUAGAGUACUGGAGAGGGUAACGGAAUUCACGGUGUAGCAGUGAAAUGCGUAGAUAUCGUGAGGAACACCAGAGGCGAAGGCGGUUACCUGGACAGUUACUGACGCUCAGGCACG
rnacentral:rRNA from 1 species